GUAGGGACCAUGGUCUCAGGGGCGCAUAACAACCGUGCGGAGUACGACAAGUCUUUCCAUGAAGCGCGCCGGGAGAUCAACUUGAAGGUGCAAAAGGAUCGCGCUGAGGUAGAUAAGAAACUCAAAAAAGAACGUUCAUACGUGGACAGGAUGAUAAAGGAGGAGCAUGAGGAGUUUUCCCGUAAGAUGGCGAAGAUGCGUCUUGAGAUUGAAGAAAAGUAUAAGCGGGACCGUGAGGACAUGGAAAAAAAGUUUUUCCUUGGCUACAAGGAAAUGCAUCAAACGUUGCAAAAGGACCGGAAGCUUGUGGACAGUAUUAUACAGAUGGAGCGAGUUAGGAUGGAUGCCUAUGUGCUGCAGGCACGUGCUGAUAUGGACAGUAAGAUGCUACAGGAGCGAUCGGACAUGGAUUAUAAGGCCAUGUUGGAGAAGGUUCGCUUGGAAGGACAUAUGUUAGAAGACCGUGCU
rnacentral:rRNA from 1 species